rnacentral:rRNA from 1 species
AAUAUUGGACAAUGGGGGCAACCCUGAUCCAGCCAUGCCGCGUGUGUGAAGAAGGUCUUCGGAUUGUAAAGCACUUUAAGUUGGGAGGAAGGGCUUUAGGUUAAUACCCUGAAGUUUUAACGUUACCAACAAAUGAAGAACCGGUAACCUGUGUCCCAGCAGCCGCGGUAAUACGGAGGGUGCAAGCGUUAAUCGGAAUUACUGGGCGUAAAGCGCGCGUAGGUGGUUCAGUAAGAUGGGUGUGAAAUCCCCGGGCUUAACCUGGGAACUGCUUUCAUAACUGCUGAGCUAGAGUACGGUAGAGGGUAGUGGAAUUUCCUGUGUAGCGGUGAAAUGCGUAGAUAUAGGGAGGAACACCAGUGGCGAAGGCGACUACCUGGACUGAUACUGACACUGAGGUGCGAAAGCGUGGGGAGCAAAC